GUGUUCACUUCAGCAGCACAUAUACUAAAAAAUUGGAAGCAUACAGAAAAGAUUAGCAUGGCCCCUGCACAAGGAUGACACGCAAAUAAGUGAAUUGUUCCACAUUUAA